UCUGUAAACAACAGGAACAUGUUCUGAUCGGAGUCCUGAUCUUCUGUCUGUGCCUUUAAAUCUCUUCUGUGAUGUCACAGCGCUCUGGUGAAAGUUUUCCCGCCUCUGUGAUUGUCUGCCCCGCCCUGAUGUGUUUCACUUGUGUCCGUCUGUCCCGGCCGUCCUCUGUCACUUUGACCAGGAGACAGGAGCCGUUCAAGGACGCGUGGUGCGUUCAAGGACGCUUCAGUGUCCAACAUAUAAUGUCAGCAAAUCAAACACUAUCUGUGAACACACCAUCAUGGAGUCAGUGGUCACCUGUCCAGGUGUCAGCAGGGUCAGAAGCUGGUCCAGGAUCAGAUCAGUGAAACAGCUGAGAUAAGACCAGGGUCAUUAAACCACACCAUGAGGAAGAAAGGUCGCCAUGACGACCAGGAGACAAGUCAAGGUAGUGAAGGAGUGGAGGAAACGAGGAGAACCAGGUAACACACCUGGAAAAGUUGAGUCAUUGUGGAGGCGGCAGGUGGAGGAGGCUCAGAGCUCAGUGACCAGAGUUUAACCUGAUGGAUGUGAACGUGUCCUCUGGGAGUGUGUGGUCACCAGUACAGAAGGCUGCGGUUCUGCUGAUGGUACUGGUCCAGUCCCAGUGAGACUGUGUUACAGUCCAGCUGGGUGGAGCUCAGAGAAGUUAAAAAACUUCAGACGGAGCAGCAGAGCGAGGACGGCCAAACAGAAACAGCUGCAAACGUUCACGUUGUUGAAACUCUGGGAUGGAGUCAGAGCCAGUAACCGUGGUAACCGUGGCUCUCGGCAGCAUGACGGAAACGUCAUGAAUCAUCCCGUCACCGUUGGGCCCAUUCAGCCCUGCAGAGCCAAAACCCCGGUCAGGUCCAGUUCUCACCUCAGAGGUCAGAGGUCAGAUGGAAGUUAUGUGACUGAACAGGUUUCUGAGGAGUGUCCUCAGAUCAGCUGGAUGAAGAGGCUGCAGGUCCAACAGAACACAGCCCCAGAACCGGCUCACAGGAAGUCACAGACAGGAAGUCCAGUCCUCUGAUCCGACUGUUUAAAUCACAGGUUCGUCUUCGCUUCAGGUAACAUGGAUAUAAAGGUGUUCUGUCCUUACCUUUAUAUACAGCUGAUUAAAAAUAACAGCUGAAAGGUUUUCUGUUAUUAUUUGAAUGUUUGAAUUUCUUCUUUAACAUAAGAUUGAUUUAGUUUACUGAUGUAGUUGUCAUGGUAACUGAUUGGCUGUUGGGAACAGGAUAUUGUUUAAACCUGGUGGUUGGUGUCUGAUGUGUCACUGCUCACUGUCACCAUGACUGACUGACAGGAAACAACCAAUAAACUGGUCUUUAUUAUCA